GAUGAAGAACACAGCGAAAUGCGAUAAGUAAUGUGAAUUGCAGAAUUCAGUGAAUCAUCGAAUCUUUGAACGCACAUUGCGCCCGCUAGUAUUCUGGCGGGCAUGCCUGUCCGAGCGUCAUUUCAACCCUCAAGCCCCCGGGCUUGGUGUUGGGGAUCGGCGAGCCUCCGCGCCCGCCGUCCCCUAAAUCUAGUGGCGGUCUCGCUGUAGCUUCCUCUGCGUAGUAGCACACCUCGCACUGGGAAACAGCGCGGCCACGCCGUUAAACCCCCAACUUCUGAACGUUUGACCUCGGAUCAGGUAGGAAUACCCGCUGAACUUAAGCAUAUCAAUAAGCGGAGGA
rnacentral:misc_RNA from 1 species